rnacentral:rRNA from 1 species
UACGUAGGGACCAAGCGUUGUUCGGAUUUACUGGGCGUAAAGGGCGCGUAGGCGGCAAUUCAAGUCAUCUGUGAAAUCUCCGGGCUUAACUCGGAACGGUCAGGUGAAACUGCUUUGCUAGAGUGCGGAAGGGGCAAUCGGAAUUCUCGGUGUAGCGGUGAAAUGCGUAGAUAUCGAGAGGAACACCUGCGGCGAAGGCGGGUUGCUGGGCUGACACUGACGCUGAACUGCGAAAGCUAGGGGAGCGAACGGG